rnacentral:rRNA from 1 species
GACGAACGCUGGCGGCGUGCUUAACACAUGCAAGUCGAACGGAAAGGCCUGCUUUCCCUUGUGGUUUGCGGGUACUCGAGUGGCGAACGGGUGAGUAACACGUGAGUGAUCUGCCCCCAACUUGGGUAUAAGCCUGGGAAACUGGGUCUAAUUCCCGAUAGGACUGCAGGGUGGUGCCUGUGGUGGAAAACGAUUUUCUAGUGGUUGGGGAUGAGCUCGCGGCCUAUCAGCUUGGUGGUGGGGUAAUGGCCUACCAAGGCGGCGACGGGUAGCCGGCCUGGGAGGGUGGACGGCGACAUUGGGACUGGGAUACGGCCCAGACUCCUACGGGAGGCAGCAGUGGGGAAUAUUAGACAAUGGGCGGAAGCCUGAUGCAGCGACGCCGCGUGGGGGAUGACGGCCUUCGGGUUGUAAACUCCUUUCGACCGCGAGGAAGCCACCUGGUUGGAAGGGUGGUGACGGUAGUGGUAGAAGAAGCACCGGCUAACUACGUG